GGGGAAUUUUGGACAAUGGGGGAAACCCUGAUCCAGCCAUCCCGCGUGUGCGAUGAAGGCCUUCGGGUUGUAAAGCACUUUUGGCAGGGAAGAAACGGCGCUGAAUAAUACUUGGCGCAACUGACGGUACCUGCAGAAUAAGCACCGGCUAACUACGUGCCAGCAGCCGCGGUAAUACGUAGGGUGCAAGCGUUAAUCGGAAUUACUGGGCGUAAAGCGUGCGCAGGCGGUUCGGAAAGAAAGAUGUGAAAUCCCAGAGCUUAACUUUGGAAUGGCAUUUUUAACUACCGGGCUAGAGUAUGUCAGAGGGGGGUAGAAUUCCACGUGUAGCAGUGAAAUGCGUAGAGAUGUGGAGGAAUACCGAUGGCGAAGGCAGCCCCCUGGGAUAAUACUGACGCUCAUGCACGAAAGCGUGGGGAGCAAAC
rnacentral:rRNA from 1 species